AGUGAACGCUGGCGGUAGGCCUAACACAUGCAAGUCGAACGGCAGCACAGUAAGAGCUUGCUCUUACGGGUGGCGAGUGGCGGACGGGUGAGGAAUACAUCGGAAUCUACUUUUUCGUGGGGGCGAACGUAGGGAAACUUACGCUAAUACCGCAUACGACCUACGGGUGAAAGCAGGGGAUCUUCGGACCUUGCGCGAUUGAAUGAGCCGAUGUCGGAUUAGCUAGUUGGCGGGGUAAAGGCCCACCAAGGCGACGAUCCGUAGCUGGCCUGAGAGGAGGAUCGGCCACACGGGAACGGGGACACGUCCCAGCCCCUUACGGGAGGCAGCGUUGGGGAAUUUUGGAAAAUGGGCGAAAGCCUGUUCCAGCCAUGCCGCGUGGGUGAAGAAGGCCUUCGGUUGGUAAAGCCCUUUGGUUGGGAAGAAAAGGCAGCAGGUUAAUACCCGGCUGUUUUGACGUUACCAAAAGAAUAAGCACCGCCUAAUUUCGU
rnacentral:rRNA from 1 species